UUGAACGUGGGUCUCCUGCAUUGCAGGUGAGUUCUUUACAUCUGAGCCACCAGGAAAGCCCAGCUGGUAUUCAAACCCAGGCGGCUUGGUGUCAGGGUCCAAACGUGGCUCAUACUUUCCUAAAACUGCAGUGGCUGGACCUUCAGCAUUCGCUAAUAUGAGGCCGAGAGGACGGAGACCAGGACAGAGUAAGGGAGCCAAAGUGUGUGGGGCCCAACACUGGGAGGGCAGAGAGAGGCACGUGUCCUCUGGCACUGAGUCUGAGGCUGAUUCAGCAAGAUGGGCAACCAGUAGGCUGUGGGACUGACAAGCAGCAUGGAGACGGGUGGACCAGGGUCUCCGUGCCAAGGAACCGCCGAAGGCUGAAGAAACAAGCUUGAGGGGAAGGAAGGAAGACGAUCUCGAUUUCUGAUGAGGCGAUGAAGUGACGCCAGGUGGGCCUGGCUCAGACUGCCACCUCGGCUACUCACCCGGUGUGUGACCUCAGAGAUGUUGCUUAACCUCUCUGAGCAGCGCUGUAUCACAUAAAACAAGGGCUUGUUGCCAGAGUUAGACUGACUGAUUUUGUACAUGUAAAGUGCUAAGAAUAGCGCCUGGACAUAAGAAGGGUGCAAUAAGCGUUAGCAUCAUUACUGAAGAAUGAGUUCCUUGUGAAAUGUGGGUUUAAUGAGAGUAAUACUGAGUUCAUCACUACUGUCAGCCUGUCACAUACAUUAACUCAUUUAAUAUUCCAAAGAACCCAGUGGAGUAGGCAUAGGCUUUCCAGGUGGCUCAGUGGUAAGGAACCUGGCUGCCAAUGUAGGAGACAUAAGAGGCAUGGGUUUGAUCCCUGGGUCGGGAAGAUCCCCUGGAGGAGGAAAUGGCACCCACUCCAGUAUUCUUUCCUGGGAAAUCCCAAGGACAGAGGAGCCUGGCGGGCUACAGUACAUGGGGUCGCAAAGAGUCAGACAUGACUGAGCACGCACGCAUAUGCACACAGAGUAAGCACUGUUGUUACCUAUUGUAUGCAGGAGGAAAAAGGAGGCAUAUCAAGGUUAAGACGCUUGCUUUUGAAGCCACACAGCUGGUAAGACAGAGCAAGGAUUUGAACCCAAUGGUCUAACUGCAGAGUCCAGCCUUGACCGCCUCACUAGAUUUAUUCCCCAGUCACAGCCACACCACAGAGUUAUGCGGCCAACACCUGGUGCUGCCUGCCCGCCAGCCAUCUUCUCAGUCAGCUGACCCAGAUAGGGCUGGCUCUGGAGGGCACCAUCUUGGCAACAUGGAGGCCGUCCCCAGGCUGCCUCCAGCCCUGCCUCAGGCCAGGAAGUCGCUGUGGGCUCUGUUUAGGGACCAUGCUGUGUGCAGAACACACAUCUUCGAGCCCUGGGAUCCCACUAAGAGAUGCGCACACAAAGCGCCAGGAACCGGGCAGCAGGUCCCAGUGGAUCCUAACAGAUCCCACUUUUUCAACUCACUCGCACUUCAGGGCAUAUUCUGACUGAGCAGAUAAGCCAUAUGUUUUAAAUUAUCAUAUUACACCUCUCUCUUUCAGCUGUGAGGUAAAGAUGAACUUAUAGGCACAGACUGCGUUUACUGGGUACCCACAACCUUAAGGCAGGCUGCCAGGAGUGGUGGGGCAGGUAGGUUCUGAAGCAAGUCUCCCCAGAGAGAGGGGUUGGAACCCAGCCUGCAAAAAGCCAGCGAGGACGUGUGCCAUCGGUGGGGGGCCGGCACGCAGUUCCUCCACCUGUAGGUCCUUCCUCUGAUUCUCACAAACGCCUGGGCGGGCAGCUCUGCCUGCUCAGGGGGCCUUGACUCCCUGACACGACCUACACCUGCCCUGCGCCUAUGCUUUCUGGGGGACAGAAUCAGCAGAUUCUCGACAGAGGUUUCCGAGGGCUCAUGAGCUGACUGACGUGGGCUGAGGCCAUAGUCCCUGGGAGUUUGCAACCGGUAGCCUGCCACUCGUCUAAAACAGCAAGAUUCGGCAAAAAGUCCUUUUCUCCAGAGACCUGAAGUGUGGGAAUCUGAAGCUCCAGACCAGGAGGACGCUAGCGCCUCGGGGAAAUGGGACCGGCCAAAGCCCGGGGCCGGACUCAGGGGGGCGGCCGCUACACCAGGAGGUCUGCCACAAGGCAGGAGGGGGCACUGGGGCCUCAGCAGCUUGCCUGUCUGUGCCCAGCCUCCCUUCCUAAGUGACCUGCCCGUAGAGUCUGUCUGAGAGUUGGGGACAGAGCUGGGCGCCCAGUCCCAGGGUCUUGAUGGUCAGAAGCUGGAGAGGGGCAGUGGCGAGGAAGGAGGUGGAGAUCUGUGGACCAUGUGUAAGAGGACCCAGGCUUUUGGAGAUAAUGCUGCCCUCAUCCUGCCAUCUUCUCAACCCUGGGGUUGUUUGGGAAAAGGGUGUUUAUGACAAAGGCUUCUAGGGCUCUGGUCUAAGCACUGACAUGAGCCGAUUCAUUUAUUCUACAUGAGACACAGAUAUGGUUAUUGUCCCAUCUUAGGGAUGAGAAAACUGAGGGCAGUAGAUGCUGGGCGUUGGAGGCUAACAGCUCAUGGCUGCCCCUUCUCCCGCCUCCUUGCCUGGGAAGUUAGGAGACCCCCAGCCCAUGCUCCUGGGGGUGACACACACCCAGGGAGUGACUGAUGGGGCCAUGUGCAAGGGGCCAGCCUCCGGCUUAAGGAAGGACAGCUCUGCGGUGCAGUUUACGGGGAUGACACCUGGGUUAGACGCCACCUGAGGCCACAUCCUCCCUUAGCGCCGUCCUCUUUCCCUACAGACUUUCCCUAAAGCGAUGCCCUCGGGACGUGAUGGGGCCGUCAACGCAUCCUCUUCUCAGACUCCCUCUAAGAAGCCGAAGACAGCAGGUUGCAGGGCUCUGCCCCGAACAGGCAGGCCAGGAUUAGCCGCUCGGCGGGAUAGCCCAUGGCCACCAGCUCCUGGUUUGGAACCUGUGCGAAGAUGUUGGUAGCCUGCAGCGUGUACCACUCCGUCACGGCCUGGGUGGCGCUGCUGAAGUUCCGGAAGGACCUCCUUUUGGACAAGAACGCUUCCUGUGACUCAGACAUGCCGGCUCAUUUUUCAACCCCUUGAAUGCACCAGGCUCUGUCGCACCCCAGGACCUUUGCAUGUGCUAUGUCCUCCACUUGGAGCACUCUCUUCCACCCGGCUAAUGUCUACUCAUUUCCUGGGGCAUUUUUCUGUGACCCCCUGCCUUUCUUCAACCGACUAGGCUCGGUCUCCUUGGGUGUCUCCUUCCUAGGCCUUGCCAUCCAGUGGUUAAACAGUGGCAGCUCUGGAGUCAGAUAAGACCUAGAUUCAAAUUCCACAGUUGCUCACUGAGUGUCUCUGGGCAAGUUCCCUCACCACUCUGAAUCUCCAUUUCCUGACCUGUGAACUGGGGCUACUGGAGUAGUGCCCCCCGACCCCAGAGUGGUUGUGUGGAUUAGAAUGACAUGAAUUAUCCAAAGAACACUCAACAUAUUGCCUGGCAUUUAGACAAUAUUAUGAAAUGCACUCAAUGCAUGGUUGCUAUAGAUGGCUGGAGGACUUCCUGUAGGAGAGGGCACUGAACCUUGGAUACAGGUCCAGUUUAAUCCUCACAAUGAGAAUGAUUUCAAUGUUUAUGGAAGAAAAGAUGAACGUCCGUUUUCUCUGGGAGGCUGUGAUGAGGACAGGAGGAACUUUGUUUUGGUUACUGAUGCAUUUCUGGGGCCCCAUAACAGUGCCUGGCAAUAGUAGUAUGUUAGUUGCUCAGUUGUGUCCUACUCUUUAUGACCCCAUGGACCAUAGCCCGCCAGGCUUCUCUGUCCA